CACGCCGUAAACGAUGGUCACUAGCUGUUUGGACUUCGGUCUGAGUGGCUAAGCGAAAGUGAUAAGUGACCCACCUGGGGAGUACGUUCGCAAGAAUGAAACUCAAAGGAAUUGACGGGGGCCCGCACAAGCGGUGGAGCAUGUGGUUUAAUUCGAUGAUACGCGAGGAACCUUACCAGGGCUUAAAUGUUAGGUGACAGAUCUAGAAAUAGAUUUUUCUUCGGACACUUAACAAGGUGC
rnacentral:rRNA from 1 species